rnacentral:rRNA from 1 species
GAUGAACGCUGGCGGCGUGCCUAAUACAUGCAAGUCGAACGCAUAGCGAAAGGUGCUUGCACCUUUCAAGUGAGUGGCGAACGGGUGAGUAACACGUGGACAACCUGCCUCAAGGCUGGGGAUAACAUUUGGAAACAGAUGCUAAUACCGAAUAAAACUUAGUGUCGCAUGACACAAAGUUAAAAGGCGCUUCGGCGUCACCUAGAGAUGGAUCCGCGGUGCAUUAGUUAGUUGGUGGGGUAAAGGCCUACCAAGACAAUGAUGCAUAGCCGAGUUGAGAGACUGAUCGGCCACAUUGGGACUGAGACACGGCCCACACUCCUACGGGAGGCAGCAGUAGGGAAUCUUCCACAAUGGGCGAAAGCCUGAUGGAGCAACGCCGCGUGUGUGAUGAAGGCUUUCGGGUCGUAAAGCACUGUUGUAUGGGAAGAACAGCUAGAAUAGGAAAUGAUUUUAGUUUGACGGUACCAUACCAGAAAGGGACGGCUAAAUACGUG